rnacentral:rRNA from 1 species
GCAUAUCAAUAAGCGGAGGAAAAGAAACCAACAGGGAUUGCCUCAGUAACGGCGAGUGAAGCGGCAACAGCUCAAAUUUGAAAUCUGGCUCUUUCAGGGUCCGAGUUGUAAUUUGUAGAAGAUGCUUUGGGUGUGGCUCCGGUCUAAGUUCCUUGGAACAGGACGUCAUAGAGGGUGAGAAUCCCGUACGUGACUGGUUGCCUUCGCUCGUGUAAAGCUCUUUCGACGAGUCGAGUUGUUUGGGAAUGCAGCUCAAAAUGGGUGGUAAAUUUCAUCUAAAGCUAAAUAUUGGCCAGAGACCGAUAGCGCACAAGUAGAGUGAUCGAAAGAUGAAAAGCACUUUGGAAAGAGAGUUAAACAGUACGUGAAAUUGUUGAAAGGGAAGCGCUUGCAACCAGACUUGCAUGCUGUUGAUCAUCCAGGUUUCUACCUGGUGCACUCGGCAGUGUUCAGGCCAGCAUCGGUUUCGGUGGGCGGAUAAAGGCCUUGGGAAUGUAGCUUCUUUCGGGGAGUGUUAUAGCCCUCGGUGCAAUGCGCCCUACCGGGACCGAGGACCGCGCUUCGGCUAGGAUGCUGGCGUAAUGGUUGUAAGCGACCCGUCUUGAAACACGGACCAAGGAGUCUAACAUCUAUGCGAGUGUUUGGGUGUCAAACCCAUACGCGUAAUGAAAGUGAACGGAGGUGAGAACCCUUAAGGGUGCAUCAUCGACCGAUCCUGAUGUCUUCGGAUGGAUUUGAGUAAGAGCAUAGCUGUUGGGACCCGAAAGAUGGUGAACUAUGCCUGAAUAGGGUGAAGCCAGAGGAAACUCUGGUGGAGGCUCGCAGCGGUUCUGACGUGCAAAUCGAUCGUCAAAUUUGGGUAUAGGGGCGAAAGACUAAUCGAACCAUCUAGUAGCUGGUCCUGC